AAGUUUUCAUAACAAAUGUAAAAUUCCUAUAUGGUAACAUAUUUUCUUGGUCGAAUAUUUAUGAUAAGACAUAGGAGGCAGCAUCUUUUUUUAUUGUCAAAAUAGGAGGCAACAUCUCCAUUCUCCACCAAGACAAAACAAGUAGGCCACAUCACAAGCACAUCCAAAUGCCCAGUUCACUGAUCAUCUUCUCAAUGUCAAACAAAACUAUUGGUUACCCCAAGCCAUUCAAAUGCUCAAGUCACACUCAGUUCACUGUAGGGCACAUCACAAGCCCAUAUCCAAAAGCUCGAUGGUCAACGUUUGAAAAGCUUAGGAGCAGCACACCAUCCUCUUUGGGGGUUCCUCCUCUUCUAUGGAGGACUCCCUGGCUAGUUGAGUUUAUGGAGGCUACACAGAUUUUUGAAGAAUAUUUGAGUUUUGCAGUCAUGAAUCAGGGACAAUAUGAAGGUGUUCCUUUGCUUGCGAUGAUUAAUUGCUGUUUUGGGCAAGGAGUGUGUCGAUCUUGAAUUGAUAAAUCUAUAGUAUUCAUAUUCGGGUGAAUUGUCACUUUGGUCCCUAUUGUUUCACACAUCGGGCAAUUUGAUCCCUAUUCUAUGGAAACGUCGCCCGUGGUCCCUGAUGUUGCAAAUCGUCGAUCACGUUGGUCUCUGGCACUGCUCCCGUUAGUGAACGUUAACAGGAAGGGUGAUUUGGCACGUUAAGUGUUCCUCUACCACUGCAUCGUUUUUGUCAAACUCAAAGAUCCAGGUUGUUAAAGGCAGUGUAUUUAUCACAUAGAAAACAUGAAUUUUGGAGCAUCAUUGUGCAGAGUGCAGACGAUUGAAUAUCAAGGAACUUGUGACAAAUGUUCUUGUAUACAGAAGCACUGGUGAUGUUUCUAGAGAAGGGUUGAGUUUGGUUAUCAGUCGUUGGGCCUCCAAGAAGACAGCGGGUUCCACAAAGAAUGGACGGGACUCAAAACCCAAGAACCUAGGAGUGAAGAAAUUUUGGUGGGGAGGUAUGAGUUAUUUUAUGCUUUAAGCAAGAAUUUAUUAAUUUUAUGAUAUGGUAUCGGAAGAAGAGAAUUGAAUCUGGAUUGUAUGCAGAGGGUGAUACCUGGAAAUGUCAUUGUUUUUUAGAUGAAACGAAAUAUAUAUUAAGAACUCAAAGAACUCAAUACAUCCGCUUGAAGGAAAGAAACUAAACUUGGGGGAGCAUUCUCCACCCAGUCAACAUUGGGAAAAUCAUAUGCUAAUUUUGCAACAAAAUCAGCCGCUUGAUUUCCCGUUCUCCUAAUAAAACUGAAAUUAAAAGACUCAAAGGACAAAUGCAAUAAUCCGACAAUCAGCAAGAACAUAAGCAAAAUAAGAAAUCUCAUUUUCCCUCCCAUGCCAAGCCUUGACAAGCACUUGACAAUCUGACUCGAAGACGACACGCGUGAACCCAAAUGCAAGAGCUUUACGGAGUGCCCAGCGCAAACAAAGUGUCUCAGCCAAGAUAAGUGAAGAAGUGGGCGUGAUCGGUCCACAAGCUGCAGCCAGCAAGCUUCCCUCUCCAUGGUACUCGUUUUCAUCCCAGAAACUAUGUUGGAAUAGGGAAAGAUCAUACUCUGUUUGCUUUGAAGCAGGGCUUGGUGAAGUUUGAACAGAACAAGCUGACCGGUCGCAAGUGAGUGCAUGUUGAGCCUAAGGAACAGGGGCGUAUCUAGGUGGGGGCAGGCAGGGGCCAUCGCCCCCCAAGAAUUUUGAAAUGUUCAACGACUAUAGGUAUUUUUAUAUAGAAGAUGUUAUAACAUUUUGUGAUACUCAUCAAGUUGAAGUUCCUGACAUGAAAGCCCCUUAUUUUAUGGGUAAUGAUCUUCAUAGGAAACAAGAUGGAGAUAUAUGAAACAUCAUUAUAUGAUAUAUGUAUUUUAUUCUGCAAUUGAUUUGCAACUAUAUGAAUUAAAUAGAAGAUUUAAUGUA